rnacentral:rRNA from 1 species
UGCAGUCGAGGGGCAUUUCUGCUUUCGGGCAGAAGCGACCGGCGCACGGGUGCGUAACGCGUAUGCAACCUACCCACAACUGGGGGAUAGCCCGGAGAAAUUCGGAUUAAUACCCCAUAAAGCAGGGGUUCUGCAUGGGACUAUUUGCUAAAGAUUUAUCGGUUGUGGAUGGGCAUGCGUCUGAUUAGCUAGUUGGUGAGGUAAGGGCUCACCAAGGCGAUGAUCAGUAGGGGGUCUGAGAGGAUGAUCCCCCACACUGGUACUGAGAUACGGACCAGACUCCUACGGGAGGCAGCAGUAGGGAAUAUUGGUCAAUGGGCGGAAGCCUGAACCAGCCAUGCCGCGUGCAGGAUGACGGCCUUCUGGGUUGUAAACUGCUUUUAUACAGGAAGAAAGGGGUCAUGCGUGACACGUUGACUGUACUGUAUGAAUAAGCACCGGCUAACUCCGUGCCAGCAGCCGCGGUAAUACGGAGGGUGCAAGCGUUGUCCGGAUUUAUUGGGUUUAAAGGGUGCGUAGGCGGGUUAUUAAGUCAGUGGUGAAAGUUUACGGCUCAACCGUAAAAGUGCCAUUGAUACUGGUAGUCUUGAGUACAGUAGAGGUAGGCGGAAUUUAUGGUGUAGCGGUGAAAUGCAUAGAUACCAUAAAGAACACCGAUAGCGAAGGCAGCUUACUAUGCUGUAACUGACGCUGAGGCACGAAAGCGUGGGGAGCGAACAGGAUUAGAUACCCUGGUAGUCCACGCUGUAAAACGAUGAAGACUCGCUGUUGGCGAUACACAGUCAGUGGCCAAGCGAAA